GAUGGGCAGCCAGAGAAAGGUUUUUCUGGCAUUGUCUGCCCAGCUGCUCCAAGCCAGGCUGAUGAAGGAGAUGUCCUCUGUGGUGAGCUGGAGGUUGGAGCCUGAAGAUGGCACAGCUCUGUGAUUCAUCUCCUAUGGUUGUGGCAGCCACGGUGAUGGAGAUGGCAGCUCAACAGGAGCGGUAGGAGGGUACCUGUGGAGGCCAAGUGGUAGGAGCCUUGGAGGGUGGGCAGGUGCAUGGAGGGUGACAGCAGCGCUGGUUCCUUUGGCGUCGGUGCUAAUGGUGGCAGCAGCAGCAAGUCUAAGGGCCAGGAAGGGGGAGUAGGUGGGCUUUGGGGCCCGGCCUGGCCCGGCCUGGGGUGUGUAAGAAGCUGCUGGUUCUGUACCACAGGCCUCAGUGAUGGUGGAGGUGCAGCCAGGGCAAGGAGGAGUCCUCCCCCUUCUCCUGCAGUCUCUGGAGGGUGCCCUCCUUCUGCUGGCAUCUGAGCCAGGUGUGAGUGGCAGCAUUGUUUUGUUCUUAACAGAAUUUAGGGGCUUACUAUUUGUGUAUCUUUUUGUUUUUGGUUGUGAUAAACCUUAA
rnacentral:lncRNA from 1 species